UGUGGCUGUGGAAGACUGGUCCCUUGAUGAUGUCUGCAAGUGGCUGAGUACCAAUGAUCUCCAUGAUUCCAUCCCAUCAUUCCAAGGAUCCAUUUUAAGACGACAGAGCAGAAAACGCUAUAUGGAGAGAACUAAAAAAUAAAGGGUCAGUGGUCUAAAAUGAGUCUCUCUGGGGAGAGAGA